UGUCCGUAGGUGAACCUGCGGAAGGAUCAUUAACGAGUUAGGGUCUUCCAGGCCCGACCUCCCAACCCUAUGUUUAUUGAACCUCUGUUGCUUCGGCGGACCCGCCUCACGGCCGCCGGAGGACCGCUGCAAGGCGUCCUCCGGCCAGCGUCCGCCGAUGGCCAACCACUUAAACUCUGAAUGAAUCGUGUCAUAUGUCUAAGUCUAUGAUUAAAUUAAAGCAAAACUUUCAACAACGGAUCUCUUGGUUCUG
rnacentral:misc_RNA from 1 species